rnacentral:tRNA from 1 species
GGACCUCUAGCUCAGUUGGUUAGAGCCCCCGGCUCAUAACCGGGUUGUCGCAGGUUCGAGUCCUGCGAGGUCCA